rfam:Musa acuminata subsp. malaccensis Doubled-haploid Pahang (DH-Pahang) genomic chromosome, chr7
AGAGUAGAGUACAGCCAAGGAUGACUUGCCGACAUUGCCUCGAGAAAAAAGAGUGCCUCACCUGCAAGUUGCCGGCAAGUUUGUCCUUGGCUACAUUUGGCUCUCU